rnacentral:rRNA from 1 species
UACAGAGGUCUCAAGCGUUGUUCGGAUUCAUUGGGCGUAAAGGGUGCGUAGGCGGCGCGGUAAGUCGGGUGUGAAAUCUUGGAGCUUAACUCCGAAACUGCAUUCGAUACUGCCGUGCUUGAGGACUGGAGAGGAGACUGGAAUUUACGGUGUAGCGGUGAAAUGCGUAGAUAUCAAGAGGAACACCUGCGGCGAAGGCGGGUUGCUGGGCCGACACUGACGCUGAUGCGCGAAAGCUAGGGGAGCGAACGGG